rnacentral:lncRNA from 1 species
CUCCUGGUGGCGGCGGCGGCCAGGAGCAGGGCCCUGGGAUCAACCAAUGGCGCAGCUGCAAGUGGUUAGACGCCAAUCUCAGGGCUGAGUCGCUGCGCACGCCAGGCAGGCGGCCGGGCGGGCAGGUGGCCGAGCGCAAGCCUUACGCGUGCUUGGAUCUGGGCGCCGCGCUGCAGAGGGGGCUGGGGGCAGCAGCAUCCCGGGCGCUGGCUUCCUGGGCGCUUUCUGGCGGCCAGGCGCGUGGGAGGAAACAGCCCCCCAGGCCCGCAGACUUCAAGCUGCAGGUCAUCAUCCUGGGCUCCCAAGGGGUGGGGAAGAGAAGCCUGACGGAGCGUUUCACCGACGACACCUUCUGCGAGGCCUGCAAGUCCACCACCUUUUGUAAGGAAGCUAUAGCGUGUCUUACUUAGAGGACUUGACAUUGAAGUUUGUCAUGUGGUGUGGACAAACGUUGUUUCUAUGGAAAACCCCUUAAAAGCUGCCAAAGGCAGGGGAACUCUGUGAAUGGGAUGUCUCUUCAGAAUAAAGAGCAAUGGUCGGCAGGAGGGAUGUGGGGGGUGUCCAAGAAACAUUGAAUAGUAUGGAGAUUUGAUAUGCAGAAUUAAAAGUAUCAUUCCACAUACUGAUACAUAUAUUUAAUGAGUUGUAAGUAGAGGUAGUUCCCGUUUUGAGAUGAAUUG